rnacentral:rRNA from 1 species
AUGCAGUUUCACAAUCUGAACUUUCAUUUCAUUAAACAAGAAAAGCGAGGUUGGUCAUUGAUGAUGCAUUUAUGGAUCCAUUUGAUGAUGAAUCCUAUCCCAUCCCAUCUUGAAUACCCCUCUCUGCAUUUCAAAGGAAGGGGAGUGCGUCCGCUGCUGUAUGAGAAAAAGUGCACGCAACUGAGGACCCAAGAUGCUAACGGUGCAGAGCCGUUCACCAUCGAGAGGACCAGGGCCACCAUCAGGAAUCUCCGGACCAAGCUCAACAUCACCAUCGCCUUUGUCAAAGACAUGUCCCGGAGGGUAGUUGCUGUCUGCGACGACUCAUCCAAAUGCUGGCAAGGAUGUGGCGAGUCAUUGGCGAUGUGCACCGGGUGA